rnacentral:rRNA from 1 species
CGCAGGGCGGAUGCCUUGGCACUAGGAGCCGAUGAAGGACGUGAUAAGCUGCGAUAAGCUUCGGGGAGUUGCACGUAAACUUUGAUCCGAAGAUUUCCGAAUGAGGAAACUCACUUAGAGUAAUGUCUAAGUAUCGUUAAGUGAAUACAUAGCUUAGCGAGGGGAACCCGGGGAACUGAAACAUCUAAGUACCCGGAGGAAGAGAAAGAAAUUCGAUUCCGUAAGUAGCGGCGAGCGAACGCGGAACAGGCCAAACCAAUGAAGUUUACUUCGUUGGGGUUGCGGACAUACAACAUGGAUGCAAUAUCGUAAAUGAAGAGAGUUGGAAAGCUCCGCCAUAGAAGGUAAUAGCCCUGUAGUUGAAACGAGAAAGCUACUAGUAUGAUCCAGAGUACCACGGGACACGUGAAACCCUGUGGGAAGCAGGAGGGACCAUCCUCCAAGCCUAAAUACUACCUAGUGACCGAUAGCGCAUAGUACCGUGAGGGAAAGGUGAAAAGAACCCCGGGAGGGGAGUGAAAUAGAACCUGAAACCCUGCACUUACAAGCUGUGGGAGCACAUUACUUGUGUGACCGCGUACUUUUUGUAGAACGGGCCAACGAGUUACGUUAAGUAGCAAGGUUAAGCACUUAAGGUGUGGAGCCGUAGCGAAAGCGAGUCUUAAAUGGGCGAUUAAGUUACUUGGCGUAGACCCGAAACCGGGCGACCUAUCCAUGAGCAGGUUGAAGCGAAAGUAAAAUUUCGUGGAGGACCGAACCCACGAGCGUUGAAAAGCUCGGGGAUGACUUGUGGAUAGCGGUGAAAUUCCAAUCGAGCCCGGAGAUAGCUGGUUCUCCCCGAAAUAGCUUUAGGGCUAGCCUCAAGCGUAGAGAAACGGAGGUAGAGCACUGAAUGUCCUAGGGGGUAUUGCACUUACCGAAGACUAUCAAACUCCGAAUGCCGUUUUCUUUUACUUGGGAGUCAGACUGUGGGUGAUAAGAUUCAUAGUCAAAAGGGCAACAGCCCAGAUCGUCAGCUAAGGUCCCUAAAUGUACGUUAAGUGGUAAAGGAUGUGGGAUUGCACAGACAACCAGGAUGUUGGCUUAGAAGCAGCCACUCAUUUAAAGAGUGCGUAAUAGCUCACUGGUCGAGUGAUCCUGCGCCGAAAAUUUCCGGGGCUAAAACGUACUACCGAAGCUACGGCAUCAUUUAUGAUGGGUAGGGGAGCUUCGUAUGCAGGCUGAAGCAUGACCGUAAGGACAUGUGGACAGUAUACGAGUGAGAAUGUUGGCAUGAGUAGCGAGACGUGGGUGAGAAUCCCACGGGCCGUAAACCCAAGGUUUCCAGGGGAAGGUUCGUCCGCCCUGGGUUAGUCGGGACCUAAGCCGAG